GCCGGUUUAGCUCAGCUGGUAGAGCACCUGAUUUGUAAUCAGGCGGUCGCGGGUUCGAGUCCUGCAACCGGCACCA
rnacentral:tRNA from 1 species